UACAGAGGUCUCAAGCGUUUGUUCGGAUUCAUUGGGCGUAAAGGGUGUGUAGGUGGCGCGCUAAGUCAGGGGUGAAAUCCUGGAGCUCAACUCCAGAACUGCCUUUGAUACUGAAGAUCUUGAGUUCGGGAGAGGUGAGUGGAACUGCGAGUGUAGAGGUGAAAUUCGUAGAUAUUCGCAAGAACACCAGUGGCGAAGGCGGCUCACUG
rnacentral:rRNA from 1 species